UAGUCCUACGGGACGCAGCAGUGAGGAAUAUUGGUCAAUGGGCUUACGCCUGAACCAGCCAAGUCGCGUGAGGGAAGACGGUCCUAUGGAUUGUAAACCUCUUUUGUCGGGGAGCAAAAAGGCCUCGUGAGGCCACAAGCGAGAGUACCCGAAGAAAAAGCAUCGGCUAACUCCGUGCCAGCAGCCGCGGUAAUACGGAGGAUGCGAGCGUUAUCCGGAUUUAUUGGGUUUAAAGGGUGCGUAGGCGGACUGGAAAGUCAGCGGUAAAAUCGAGAGGCUCAACCUCUUUCUGCCGUUGAAACUGU
rnacentral:rRNA from 1 species